UACGAAGGGGGCGAGCGUUGUUCGGAUUUACUGGGCGUAAAGGGCGCGCAGGCGGCGAUCUUUGUCAGGCGUGAAAUCCCCGGGCUCAACCUGGGAACUGCAUUUGUGACUGCAUCGCUGGAGUGCGGCAGAGGGGGAUGGAAUUCCGCGUGUAGCAGUGAAAUGCGUAGAUAUGCGGAGGAACACCGAUGGCGAAGGCAAUCCCCUGGGCCUGCACUGACGCUCAUGCACGAAAGCGUGGGGAGCAAACAGG
rnacentral:rRNA from 1 species